rnacentral:rRNA from 1 species
GACGAACGCUGGCGGCGUGCUUAACACAUGCAAGUCGAACGGAAAGGCCCUGCUUUUGUGGGGUGCUCGAGUGGCGAACGGGUGAGUAACACGUGAGUAACCUGCCCUUGACUUUGGGAUAACUUCAGGAAACUGGGGCUAAUACCGGAUAGGAGCUCCUGCUGCAUGGUGGGGGUUGGAAAGUUUCGGCGGUUGGGGAUGGACUCGCGGCUUAUCAGCUUGUUGGUGGGGUAGUGGCUUACCAAGGCUUUGACGGGUAGCCGGCCUGAGAGGGUGACCGGCCACAUUGGGCCUGAGAUACGGCCCAGACUCCUACGGGAGGCAGCAGUGGGGAAUCUUGCACAAUGGGCGGAAGCCUGAUGCAGCAACGCCGCGUGCGGGAUGACGGCCUUCGGGUUGUAAACCGCUUUCGCCUGUGCCGAAGCGUGAGUGACGGUAAUGGGUAAAGAAGCACCGGCUAACUACGUG